rnacentral:rRNA from 1 species
AGUGAACGCUGGCGGUAGGCCUAACACAUGCCAGUCGAACGGCAGCACAGUAAGAGCUUGCUCUUACGGGUGGCGAGUGGCGGACGGGUGAGGAAUACAUCGGAAUCUACUUUUUCGUGGGGGAUAACGUAGGGAAACUUACGCUAAUACCGCAUACGACCUACGGGUGAAAGCAGGGGAUCUUCGGACCUUGCGCGAUUGAAUGAGCCGAUGUCGGAUUAGCUAGUUGGCGGGGUAAAGGCCCACCAAGGCGACGAUCCGUAGCUGGUCUGAGAGGAUGAUCAGCCACACUGGAACUGAGACACGGUCCAGACUCCUACGGGAGGCAGCAGUGGGGAAUAUUGGGCAAUGGGCGCAAGCCUGAUACAGCCAUACCGCGUGGGUGAAGAAGGCCUUCGGGUUGUAAAGCCCUUUUGUUGGGAAAGAAAAGCAGCAGGUUAAUACCCCGCUGUUCUGACGGUACCCAAAGAAUAAGCACCGGCUAACUUCGUG